GGACCCACCUGAAUCCAUUCCGAACUCAGAAGUGAAACGAAAUAGCGUCGAUGGUAGUGUGGGGUUUCCCCAUGUGAGAGUAGAACAUCGCCAGGCU
rnacentral:rRNA from 1 species